GCAUAUCAAUAAGCGGAGGAAAAGAAACCAACAGGGAUUGCCUCAGUAACGGCGAGUGAAGCGGCAAAAGCUCAAAUUUGAAAUCUAGCACCUUCGGUGUUCGAGUUGUAAUUUGAAGAUGGUAACCUUGGGUUUGGCUCUUGUCUAUGUUCCUUGGAACAGGACGUCAUAGAGGGUGAGAAUCCCGUCUGAUGAGAUGCCCAUUCCUAUGUAAGGUGCUAUCGAAGAGUCGAGUUGUUUGGGAAUGCAGCUCUAAGUGGGUGGUAAAUUCCAUCUAAAGCUAAAUAUUGGCGAGAGACCGAUAGCGAACAAGUACUGUGAAGGAAAGAUGAAAAGCACUUUGAAAAGAGAGUGAAAAAGUACGUGAAAUUGUUAAAAGGGAAGGGUAUUGAAUCAGACUUGGUGUUGUUGUUCAACCAUGUUUCGGCAUGGUGUACUCAGCAGUACUAGGCCAAGGUGGGGUGUUUGGGAGUGAAAAAGAAGUAGGAACGUAACUCUUCGGAGUGUUAUAGCCUACUUUCAUAGCUCCUCAGGCGCCUCAGGACUGCGCUUCGGCAAGGACCUUGGCAUAAUGAUUCUAUACCGCCCGUCUUGAAACACGGACC
rnacentral:rRNA from 1 species